UCAAUUACCAAGUGCUAGCUCGUGAAAAAGGAAAAGUCAAGUAUAAUGUUUAAGGAUAGGAAUUAAACAAAAGCCACUGGUAUGCAGUUGAUUAACCGCAAAGAAAUGACUUAAGUAUUCUUGUAAAUGGGGUUAUAGUAAAAGUCAUUCCUUACAGGCGUCGUUAAGCUUCGCUGUACCGUGGAUGAGUCCGUAUCUAAAUAACCUUUAUGUUGGUAUCACAUCUCUCUGUAAGAUCUAACCACCGGUGCUGGCGUUAAGUACUACAAACCACGGAUCGCAUAAAUUAGACUGAUCAACAAGUACCUUCGUCGACGUGUAGCUGUUGAGAAGCAAGUAAGUGGCGUUCACGGUGGAGAACGUGGGUACCAUGGGAAGGAUGUAGAGCGUGACGAGCAGUUAGUCGACAACAGGAAGGAGAGCAUACAACGAGGUAAUCUCCAGCUCAUCACGAGUUCAUAAGGUGAAGUUGUCCUCUGUGAAGUCGACUGAUCUUGUCCACCUCAAAGAUGAUGUCUUCGUGAACGCACCUGCCAGAAAUCCUUGAGUGCCAAACGGUCGCCUUGAAUUUUUACUCUUGCAAAAUAUUCAUGGAACUUAUAAUAUUGUCAGGUGAGACUCCUCAUAGGCAUCUUAGGACACACAGCCACAACGGCAGGAGUCUAGAUGAUGAUGAUGAUGAUGGUGAACGAACCUGGGUGUACUCAUGCCCAGAUCCAUAAUCUUGAGGAGGUAUUGCCAAUAGAGGAAACUCUAUGGAUUCCAGAGAAAAGGAUAAUAACGUCAUAAUAAAUUGUGACAAGAAAGAAAACAAGGGAUACAGAUGCAUUUUCGAGCAAAGAAAUUGGAAGUGUAUUUACAGUGUUUAUAAUGAAGGACGUAUAGGGUAGAAUAAGGAUACGAAGUUCUAGAGGGAAAUUAACGAAGGGGUCGACGUAUAUUAUUUAAAAAAAUAAGAGCUUAGUGAUAAAUUAUUUAAUAUUAAAAGUGAUAAAAUCAAAAUUUCGUGUAAUUUUCGAAUGCGAAUUAAUAUUUACAUUACUGGAAUGGAAUCACGAAACGUAUUCUAUAAAUUAAUCAUUUGGGUCUUUAAUGAUACUCGGUGAAAGCAAUUAACCCAAUCACGAUUGAACCGCUCAAUACGACAUGACCUGAAGCAGUCGUGCUUUUACUAAUAUUAUUUCAAUGAUAUAUAAAAUUGCUAUCCUUUAUCUAUUUUACUCAGAUCUGUUCUAUUGCUAAAUAACAAAGUUUCUGGUGUCUCGUUCGUUAUAAAAUGCGACUUCAAUUAAA